UACGGAGGGUGCAAGCGUUACUCGGAAUCACUGGGCGUAAAGAGCGCGUAGGCGGUUCAGCAAGUCAGAAGUGAAAGCCCGGGGCUCAACUCCGGGACUGCUUUUGAAACUGUUGAACUAGAUUGCAGGAGAGGUAAGUGGAAUUCCUAGUGUAGCGGUGAAAUGCGUAGAUAUUAGGAGGAACACCAGUGGCGAAGGCGAUUUGCUGGACUGUAACUGACACUGAGGCACGAAAGCGUGGGGAGCAAACAGG
rnacentral:rRNA from 1 species